GAUGAACGCUGGCGGCGUGCCUAAUACAUGCAAGUCGAGCGAACGGACGAGAAGCUUGCUUUUCUGAUGUUAGCGGCGGACGGGUGAGUAACACGUGUAUAACCUACCUAUAAGACUGGGAUAACUUCGGGAAACCGGAGCUUAUACCGGAUAAUAUUUUGAACCGCAUGGUUCAAAAGUGAAAGACGGUCUUGCUGUCACUUCUAGAUGGAUCCGCGCUGCAUUAGCUAGUUGGUAAGGUAACGGCCUACCAAGGCAACGAUGCAUAGCCGACCUGAGAGGGUGAUCGGCCACACUGGAACUGGGACACGGUCCAGACUCCUACGGGAGGCAGCAGUAGGGAAUCUUCCGCAAUGGGCGAAAGCCUGACGGAGCAACGCCGCGUGAGUGAUGAAGGUCUUCGGAUCGUAAAACUCUGUUAUUAGGGAAGAACAUAUGUGUAAGUAACUGUGCACAUCUUGACGGUACCUAAUCAGAAAGCCACGGCUAACUACGUG
rnacentral:rRNA from 1 species